AGUGAGCUUGCUUCUAGGAUGAGUGCCAUGAGCAGUGCAACAGAUAAUGCAUCUGAAUUGAAGAAGAAUCUAUCUAGAGUGUACAACAGACAGCGUCAGGCAAAGAUUACCGGAGAAAUAUUGGAGAUUGUUGCUGGAGCAGAUGCCUUGGUUUAAGCAUAUCCCCUGCAAUUGUGCUUCUCUGUAGGUACAAUAAUGAAGUCUAGACAAUUUUUAUUUUCUGCUUCUCAACCUCGUACAGACUUUGUGCACAAGAAGAGAACCACAUUAUAUUUUGUACACAAGGCCAGACCAAACCUAUAUUUGUAUGUCAAUUUUUUUCUGCUAUAUUUGUAAAACAUGAAUUAUUGAAAGCCUG
rnacentral:misc_RNA from 1 species